GGCUCUCCUACCUUAUUUUUUUUUCUGCUGGUGGCCUGGUUGAAGAUGGAUUUGGCUUUUGGUAGGAAGGGGGCUAAAUCCUUUGCAGGGGAGGAGACAUGGCUUUAUGGACAAAGCUGGGAGGCAGAAGUCCAGCACCAGAAAAAUCAAAACUUCCUUGUCUCAGGACCAAGUUAACCAAGGUUGAGCUUUUCAGUAUGGGAAGGGCCGAAGAUGACAUGGUUGCUACUCUGAUUUAGAUUGUUGAGAGAGCUAUCCAGUUUUAACGUGCAUGACUGCAAGGCAGAAGCUGUACUUGGUAUCAGAGAGAUUGAAGCUGUAGUCAAAUUCACUUUGUUCACCUGGAUUGGUUAGUGAUGGAAGCCAUGAUUUAAAAUCCUACCAACAGUGACUUAGUUUCUCUUUAUGAAAGAAGAUAGAUUUUUACCUCUCCAAGAAUACUGACGUUCUCCAGCAGAACUAAUAAGUACCAAAAAUGUUUGAAUCUUCUUGCACAAAACCUGAUAAAAUUCCUUAAUAUUUGCCCUUGUUAUCUCUGUAAAUUAACAGCCAAGUAAAAAUAAAUAGUAUUUGAAUAAAUGUUGAACAUUUUUCUGUAUUAUAUUUUUAAAUGGAACAAGUGUACCUAAAACUUACAUUUUAUAACCUGGAACUUGAUGAAUUCAUUACAAUAACAUUUGAGCAGAAGAAUGGAUAGAAUUAAAUUCCUGUAACUAUUUUGUUACUACCUAAUUUGAGUAUGGUGUUCCAAGG
rnacentral:lncRNA from 1 species